GCUCCUCGGGUGACGAGUGGCGGACGGGUGAGUAAUGUCUGGGGAUCUGCCCGAUAGAGGGGGAUAACCACUGGAAACGGUGGCUAAUACCGCAUAACGUCGCAAGACCAAAGAGGGGGACCUUCGGGCCUCUCACUAUCGGAUGAACCCAGAUGGGAUUAGCUAGUAGGCGGGGUAACGGCCCACCUAGGCGACGAUCCCUAGCUGGUCUGAGAGGAUGACCAGCCACACUGGAACUGAGACACGGUCCAGACUCCUACGGGAGGCAGCAGUGGGGAAUAUUGCACAAUGGGCGCAAGCCUGAUGCAGCCAUGCCGCGUGUAUGAAGAAGGCCUUCGGGUUGUAAAGUACUUUCAGCGGGGAGGAAGGCAGUGAGGUUAAUAACCUUGCUGAUUGACGUUACCCGCAGAAGAAGCACCGGCUAACUCCGUGCCAGCAGCCGCGGUAAUACGGAGGGUGCAAGCGUUAAUCGGAAUUACUGGGCGUAAAGCGCACGCAGGCGGUCUGUUAAGUCAGAUGUGAAAUCCCCGGGCUUAACCUGGGAACUGCAUUUGAAACUGGCAGGCUUGAGUCUCGUAGAGGGGGGUAGAAUUCCAGGUGUAGCGGUGAAAUGCGUAGAGAUCUGGAGGAAUACCGGUGGCGAAGGCGGCCCCCUGGACGAAGACUGACGCUCAGGUGCGAAAGCGUGGG
rnacentral:rRNA from 1 species